UCCUACGGGGGGCAGCAGUGGGGAAUAUUGGACAAUGGGCGAAAGCCUGAUCCAGCCAUGCCGCGUGUGUGAAGAAGGUCUUCGGAUUGUAAAGCACUUUAAGUUGGGAGGAAGGGCAGUAAGUUAAUACCUUGCUGUUUUGACGUUACCGACAGAAUAAGCACCGGCUAACUCUGUGCCAGCAGCCGCGGUAAUACAGAGGGUGCAAGCGUUAAUCGGAAUUACUGGGCGUAAAGCGCGCGUAGGUGGUUCGUUAAGUUGGAUGUGAAAGCCCCGGGCUCAACCUGGGAACUGCAUCCAAAACU
rnacentral:rRNA from 1 species